rnacentral:rRNA from 1 species
GUAGGGAAUUUUCGGCAAUGGGCGAAAGCCUGACCGAGCAACGCCGCGUGAGUGAAGAAGGCCUUCGGGUUGUAAACUGCUUUUGUACGGAACGAAAAGGCUCUGGUUAAUACCUGGGGCUCAUGACGGUACCGUAAGAAUAAGCACCGGCAAACUUCGUGCCAGCAGCCGCGGUAAUACGAAGGGUGCAAGCGUUGUUCGGAAUUACUGGGUGUAAAGGGCGUGUAGGCGGAUUAGUUAGUUAGUGGUGAAAUCCUUGGGCUCAACCUGAGAACUGCCAUUGAUACAGCUAGUCUGGAGUAUUAGAGAGGAUGACGGAAUAUCCAGUGUAGAGGUGAAAUUCGUAGAUAUUGGAUAGAACACCGGUGGCGAAGGCGGUCAUCUGGCUAAUUACUGACGCUGAGGCGCGAGAGCGUGGGGAGCAAACAGGAUUAGAUACCCCGGUAGUCC